rnacentral:rRNA from 1 species
UACGUAGGGUGCAAGCGUUGUCCGGAAUUAUUGGGCGUAAAGAGCUCGUAGGCGGUCUGCUGCGUCCGCUGUGAAAACCCGGGGCUUAACCCCUGGCUUGCAGUGGAUACGGACAGACUAGAGGUAGGUAGGGGAGAAUGGAAUUCCCGGUGUAGCGGUGGAAUGCGCAGAUAUCGGGAGGAACACCGGUGGCGAAGGCGGUUCUCUGGGCCUUACCUGACGCUGAGGAGCGAAAGCAUGGGGAGCGAACAGG